rnacentral:lncRNA from 1 species
CGCCGAGAUUAGGGAUCCCACCAAGAAGAGCCGUGUCUGGCUGGGAACCUUCGACACGGCGGAGGAGGCCGCCCAAGCCUACGACGCCGCCGCCCGGGAGUUCCGGGGCUCCAAGGCCAAAACCAACUUCCCUCUCCCCAACGAAGUCCUCCCCUUCCCCAACACCGACAACCUCACCCGCAGCCCCAGCCCCAGCAGCACCGUCGAGUCCUCCAGCCCCCACGCGCCUCUCGAGCUCGACCUCACGCGCCGCCUAGGAAGCAGCGACGGUGGCUUUCCGUUCCAUUACCAGCCGCACGUUGUGAAUUCCGCUGCUGUGGCAGGCGUUUGGC